rnacentral:lncRNA from 1 species
AGUGAAGAAGGCCAGGAAGAGCAGAGGAUGGUGCCAGGAGGAUGAUGUCGGGGGACACAGGCAGCUCAUGCCUGGAUCAGGCAGUGACUGGUAACAGAAGGAGAGUCCAUGCUGGUGGGCCCAGGGGAACAUAGGUGGUCAAGCAGGGCAGUACUUGGUGUCUGGGGAUGCAGUGUGCGACCUCCUGUAUUCGGUGCGAGGCACAUGGGGCCAGCAGGAGCUGGUGUGAGCCCGGGUCUGAAGGGUGGUGGGAUCUUAGUGGGGAAGACUGGGAAGACAGCAGGGAGGAAGAACUCAGGCUGGAGGAGGAUGGGGGCCUGGGAGGAUCCCUGCCACACUGUUAGGAAGCCAGGGAGCUUG